GGUCCACACUCCUGCUGCACCAGCGCUUAAUAUAUUUCAAGGUUACCAUAGCACCUGCCUUCCAUUUUCCCUCCCAGGACUGCCCAGCUGCAUGGAUGCCAAUAUGGAAGGGACUGAUACGGGCACACAGUAAGUCUCGAGGCCCCAGGAGACACACGGUGCUGACCCAAGGCCCCGCCUUUCACCCGGAGUUAAUGGUGAUGGAGAAAACCCCCGUCCCUGUGUGUGAAGCUCAGGAACAGUCAGGGUGCUUGGAAGGACAGGCCACGGGAGUCUGAAAGGAAAGGGAAGAGACACAGCCAGCCUCUUCAUACAUCGGCUCCAGGACCGCGCCAGGGCAGGAUGGGGCAGGAUGAAGGCUCUAGGGUCCCCAGACGCAGCCGCUGGUGCCUAGGAGAUGCUCCACCAGCUGACACUAACCUAAGAGCAUCUGCAUUUGCAAAGUGACUUAAAGACCACCUGCUUCUCCAGCCUUUGAUCACUGAGUCUGCGCCCUGUUUGAAGCUGGUGGGAAACCGUUUCUCAUAGAAGCCCUUAUCCUCCUGUUCGGUGGUUCUUACGGUUCCCU